UAAAACUGAUGCGAGGUUAGGGGCGGUGAGAGGCGGAGCCAUGGUCUUCAAAUUCUUCAUAUUUUGUCUUCGCCGACUUCUGCAUCCGCUGUUAUAGUACUAUCUCUGUGUUCGGUUAUUCUAGGUUCCUUUGUUUCUGUAAAAACUUGUUUGGAUGGAUUCUUGAGAUUUAUGUACUCUUUUCAUUGUCAGCAUUUUUACUUGGAUUAUUAUCUAUGGUCGUUGACUCGGAAGAUAUUUGAAUACAGUAACAUUGCCGUUUGUAAUGCUGAAAAUACAACCUGGAUUUGAGGUAUUGGUUCAGUUUUCGCGACACUGUUUACAUAGUACUAUUUGUUUGACAUCACUUGCACGCACACAAAACUACGGAUUUUACAAGAGAUACAACAGGAUCGGCGCCACAAUGACGCGAUCAUUUCUUGGUCUUGGGCUGCUUGACUAUCAUGACGGAGCAGUGCGCAUGGUGGGCGCAGUAGUCGCUCACGCUCCCGAGAAAUGCCCUGCAAGAAGCGUCCAUGUUCAGAUAAAACCCAUGGCUAUUAGCCAGCAGCAUGCGGAACAGAUCAUCAGUUAAUUACCUCUUGAUUGCACCGUAGCCAUGGCUGCCGACGACGAGCAGAUCGGCGUGGUGCUUGUCGACGGCGUCGCAGAGCACGUACCUCGCCUCUCCUUCCAUCACCUCUAUCAGACCAUGCACCUGCGAUUUGGCAUGAGCAGUACACUUUGAGCAAAUGUCUCCGAUCGAGCAAUGCGGUGAACGGUGGUCGUGGCUGUUACCGAGUUGGCGACGCAGAGGCGUCGCGCCCUGUCAACGACGUCCUCGGCCCUCUUCCGCAGGUCCGCAUCCACCACCCUCACCACGUCCCCGGCGGCGGCUGAAAAUUCCGAAGCAGAGAGACGGAAUCAAGCCAUGUUUUCCCCUUAAAAAAGGCUACAAAAUGGGUCUAUGGCAGGCACCAGGGCUGCCGAAGGUGACGACGGAGGACGCGGGCGGCUUGGCGUGGACGACGACGAGCUCGGCCGCCACGCCGGCCGUCGCCGCGUGCCGCACGGCCCACUCGAGCGCGCGGUAGCUGUGGUCGCUGUCGUCCACGGCCACCAGCACCACCGUCUUCUUCCUACUGCCAUCCUCCGCCGCAGGCGCAGUCUUGGUUUCCGCCAUCGCAAGGAAACUAUUGCUUUUGGUUGGCAGGUUUGCUGUGUGUGAUCUGAUGAGCAGCGCCAUCGAGGGGCGUACAUAUAGGGCCACGGCCAAAAACCGGAAUGGAUGGAUCAUGGACAGUGGAUACUGGUGGCGGCAGCCGGCAGGGUGCCCCGGUUUUCGCUUCGUUUGGCUGUUGGUUUUAGCUCCAGCUUUGCAACUUCCGUCCUGCGGCUGCUGGAUAGCGACCCGCUAAUAGUACAGCCACUCAGCCAACCAGUGCGUGCUGACUGCGACCGUUAGUUUUUCAGUUUCUGCUCCCGGAACCUGUGAUUAGCCAUAGUAGGCGUAGUAAGAUACUUACUGGUCAACACACACACGCUUUACUUUUAAGUUGUACACGGAAGAAGAUUACAUAGUCUCGUAUAGCGCGGAAGUGCUAUUUUGAUCCCGAGCUCACAUGCCCCCGCCUCUUUUUUCAGCAACACCGCUUCCGAUUAUUGCAGUGGUCGGUAAUAAGUAAUAACACGGUCGCAGAAACGAAGUUUACAAGCAGCAGCAUACAUUGUCCAUAAUGUAAGACGUUUUUUGGCACUACAUUUGCGUGCAUUGUCCUCGAGUCCUCAUGUACUUGGGUGCAUCGACCUCGAGUUCUCAUGUCUCUUGGCAACACAGCAUCUUGGGUCACAAGUCACAACACCCAAUAGGUGUGUGUGCGGCACCUUUUUGAAAAGAGAAAAAAAAAACAGUUUUGCAGUGGAAAAGCCAUGCAGCAUUUCGAAAGGACUUCCUUUUCGGGCUCGCGCGGAAUUUAAAUGGAUCCAUAUAUUGAUAUUCAUACAACACUAAAACAACAGCUAUGGUAUCGCUUCUCAGUGUUAAUAGCUGCGUACCUUUCUCGUCAGAUGUUUGUCUUGUUAAAAGUUGUUUCAGCUAUGCAUGCAAAAAAUGUUGCUAUGCAUGGGUUAACAUGCAUUAGCACGGCAAACAUGCAGGCGUACAUGUCAAACAUAAAAACCUCAGGAACUACUAGUCCCACAAAAUUUCUACAGAAUUCAUGUGAUUUUUAAAAAAACGGAGGCAUAAGCUGCUGGCCUUACAAGGACACCAUUAAGGUCAGGCAAAAACUCGCAAAGGUAACGCAGCUUCAAGUUGUCUCUGCCAAGAUUGACAUAAGUAGCGGUCAACAUAUAUGGGAAAUAUGGACAUGGCAAUUGCGUCCAGGAUUCACGUAUAAGAAGCACAUUUCAUAAAGGCAUCACACCGUCUCCCAUAAAAACUUGGUAAAUAAUCAGGCCAGUCCAAAACAAGCAAACUUGGUCAACAUAUACAGGGUCUUAAUGACUGAAAGCAUUUCAUAGACAUAUCAAGACUAAAUCAAAGCAAAAGCAAAAACUGCAGAGGGAACAAGAAAAGUUAUUAGAGAGCUAUACCAAAGCUGUAGCCCUAUGGUUUAGCUGUGAUAACUGGAGGUCCAACACUUCUAAAAGACUCCAUAUAAUUGUCGGUAACAACUGUCAGCCUCCACCCUGGAGUCACGCUUCCACUCUUGGUUUGCCAAUGCGCGAGAAAAAUGGAACAUAGGGAAGAUAUGGAGGAAAUGUGUCAUACAAGUGAUAUUUUAGACUGCAGAUAACACAAACUUUACCACGGUCCAUGUCAUAUGACAGUAGCACAUCCUUGCACCUCCAAACAAAGAAUAUCAAAUUGCAUUCAGGAUGGAUUGCGAUCAAAGCAUAGUCCCUCUGGAACAAGAGAUCAGCAUAGUCCCGUUGUAACAUGUGAUUUUUCUCCCCAAAAAGCUCCCCAAAAAGUUGUGAAGUGCUGAUGUUGUACUUAAAGAUCCAUUCAUUACCAUUAUAGUCCUCAAGAAUCCAGACUGAUAAUUUGGAGCUAUCGUUGUCUCUCAUAUUUAUAAAAUACAAUCGCCCUUGAGAUUGACCAAUAAAAGCCAGAGGACCUAAACAAAUGUUUCCAACACACAUGGUUUCAAGCAAAGAAAUGGUCCUCCAUGUCUUGCCUUCCGUGUCAACUGCUAGUAUCUUAAACUCACAUGUGAGCAAGUGCAUCAUUCCAUUGAAAAAGACACCUCUCAUGUCAACUAUCUGAAUCUCAUUGUCGCCCCAACCAUUUUCCUUGUAACUCCAGGCUCCUGUCUCUGAUGAGUAGAUAUUAACACCUGAGAUAUAUCCAUAGUCCUCAUCACCCUCUAGGAUCUGGAACACAUGGAAGUGGGGUGACAUGGCUCCAUCGAAACCCAAACGGUACGCCAAUGCAUCGCUUUUAUGGCCAGCAUCAGGCAGGAUUACCCAUUCCUCAGUGGCAGGAUUACAUACCACAUAAUCAGCUUCGUCUAUUGGGGAGUCCUUCCAGCAGAGGCAGAAAAUAAGGCCAUUGCAGCAGUCCUUUGGCAAAAUCUGCCUGUAUCCCGUCAAGAAGGACAACGAGGAAUCAGGGAAUAGCUGCUCUUGGUCCCUUGAUAUACCAUCAAAAGUGGGAAAUGCUAUCAAACCAUCCUCAUAGUUGAGUCUGUGCUUGGGGUAGAAGAAGCCGGAGAUGGUCUGGGGCAGCUUUUUGCGGUGUUGGGAGAUGAGGAGGUACCAGAGCCGGGAGACACACUUGAAUCGGCACACUGACUUGACGGGCAGCAGGGACAGAAUCUCGAUGAUAAGGUCAUCUGUCAGGUCAGCAGCGGAGGUUGUCCCGUUCUUGGAGCAGUUCAUCUGUGUGCAAGCCAUUCUGACAAGUAGAGACGGAACACUAAAAUAGUCAUAUCAAAUAUCAGUGCAUGACAGAAUGAAAGGAAGAGCACGGAGGAAGAACAGGCAUACCAGUCUACUGAAGCAGGGAGCGGCAACGAUGGAAGUGGCUAUCAAUGGCGGUUCUGCGGCUGACGGCUGGGAACAAUAGUUACAGUGGCUCAGAUAGUUGAAUAAAAUGCCAAACAACAAAGAAUAAAUCAAAAUAGUACAAGCUAUUGACAGCGACGUGUAACAAGUUGUACUAUUUGAAACUUACUGGUUAGAAACAAUGCCUGGGAACAAAACAUCAAGACUUAAAUACACUUUGUGAAAGUAAAAUGUAAAGGCAGUCUUUCGUUUUCACCGGUUCCUUUGUUCUCACCAACGGUCGCCUGGAGGAUGGAGCGCCAGGCACGGUGGCUGCAAGUCGGACGCGUGAGCCUGACGGACGUGCCUGAGUGAGGUGCAACCAAACACGGAUAGUUGAGGCUCAAGCAAAUCGCUCCAGCACAGCAACCAAACUAGCCCAACAUGCAUUAACAUUGUGACAUCUUUGUUCUACAACUGCUCCAUUAAGUACAAGUUCAAAAACGAAGUCCAGCCAACUACUAUAACUAUUAAUAUGGAUCGGAGGGAGUACUGAAAUUUCUUUCGGAUAGGUGUAUAUGGUGUUAGAAUUUUACAGGCUCCUUUUACACCUUAUUAUGUUUUGGUUUUUGACGAGAAUCCUUUCAGAAUUUUUAUUGAGUCACUUGACUUGCAUUUCUGUGACUGUGAGUAUACAUCUGUAACUUCCACACAGAACCUAAGGCUGGAGGAGUAUGAGCUACGAAGAAAUGAGACCACCCAUAGCAUAGCAGUUAACCUAAAUAGGUUUGAUGUCGUACCUAGUAAGUCAGACGCCGCUGCUCUUUUCCUGUCCUGCCGGCGAGCUUCCAGACCGCCGCCGCUUCGUCCCGGUUCGUCGCCGCUGCCCGCCACAUUCGGGAUCGACUACAGGAUCUCAAGCCAUGCUUCCGCAUAGUCGAUCCAUGGUCCGAUUUAGGGAUCAGGUCCCAAGAUCUGAGAGUUGGCUGGAGGAUUUGGGGAUUAGGGUUCUUGUUCGGCCUGUGUGAAGCGGAGAAGGCCGUUUGUGCGGAGAAGAGAGAAGACGCUCUACGGGCUGCCGAAAUUAGACCAGCCCACAUAAAACUCCGACUGGACCUGCCAUUCCACUCUAGCCACUGUAGAGACCCGGACCGAUUUUCCAAGCAUUUUUUAUUCGGUUUUGAACAAAGCACAAAACAAUGUAUGUUCCAAAUGGGAAAAUUUGAAAUCAUGAAAUUUAAUUAAAUAAUGGAAAUAUUAUAAAAAACAAACAUUAAAAAAACAAAAUUUGAGGACAUGACAUUUUUUGUUGAAAAUUUCAAAAACGCGGACAAUUUUUAGGCAUAGUUGUGAAGCACAUAUGCACUUUUCACAUGGUGUGCUUGACGCGAGGGGAAAUACAGAACACAAAAAGAUGGAUCUUUUUUGUCAAGAAAACCUAUGAAAUAACAAACAAAAUCCGAAAAACCAAAAAAAUGCAUGGAGACAAAAAAAAAUUGUGCUCCCAUGAAUGCGCCCAAAGCGCGACACGUGGCGGCGGUUGGUCGCACCACAUGGUUCGCCCAUGUGCGCUCGUUGUGAGCUCCUCCCGGGGGUACCGCUGGUUAGUUGACCCCAUUCUUAGGAGUUCUUAUUAACCAUCCGCAAGCUUGGCUAAGAGCAAGAGUAGGUCGGCGGCACAGUUUGCCCGUGAGCGAUUUUUUAAAAAUUAUCUUCAGUCUUUUAGGUUGUCGGUUUGCCCGUGAGCGAUUUAAAAAAAAUUAUCUUCAGUCUUUUAGGUUGUUUCUCAACCCCCCAAAAAAUGGCUGUUGUUUUUUAGGAGCUACAUAUUUGAAAACCUAUUUAUUUUAAUAAUAUUCUUUACAAAGUUGUUCAGUAUGUUUUUUAUAGAAAAGAUUGUUCUAUAUUAAAAGAAGUUCAUCGUAUACUAAAAAAAAUCAGUAGGAAGAAAUGAAUAUGACAUGUAGGCCCACAUAGUAAGUGAGAGAAGUGAGUAAUCCCGGUUUAAUUUCGACCACACAUACAAUUUUUUUUAGGGGUAAACCAUACAUACAACUUCAAGCUUUAAAAUAGACUUUACUCAACCCACUUCAUUUCAUGUGACCUUUAAAAACGGAGGCAUACACGCUCCUGGCCUUACAAAGACACCAUUAAGGUCAGGCAAAAACUCGCAGGUAACACACCUUCAAGUUGUCCCUACCAAGAUCGGUAUAAGUAGCGGUCAAUGUAUAUGGAAAAUAUGGACAUGGCAAUUGCGUCCAGGAUUCACGUAUAAGAAGCACAUUUCAUAAAGGCAUCAAACUGUCUCCCACUCUUCCAUAAGCCACGAGUCGCAUUGUGGCCUCCAGGGGUUGCGGAUAAAUUGUAGAGAGAUCUAUUAAUGCAUAUACUUUAACUCCGCCUAUGUUGUCUCAACAUAGCCGGUCCCAAGCCCGGGUAAAGGAGGAGGGUUGUGAUAGGCUUGGCGAGCCAACGUAAAAACUCAGCCACUCUUAUGGAGAUGAAACCCAAAAGAUUUUCGUUGGGGCGUAACCCUCUCAGCGACGCGCCACAUCGGAACCCGGGUGUGGUGAAAAAUGGGCAAGGGCCGGGCCGUCACCCCCCAAGUGGCGCCCCGUAUCUUGAUCCGGAUACGGUGGCAAGUGAGCGAGGAUCGGGUCGUCGCAUCCUUAGUGGCGCGCUACAUCGGCGCCCGGAUGUAGUGGAAAAUAAGCAAGGGUCUUCGCAUUUGACUCGACGAGUGCGAAGGGUAAGGAAGCUAGCCGAGCCUAGGAGGAUUCGCUUAGGUAGCUGGAACGUAGGGUCUCUGACAGGGAAGCUUCGGGAGCUAGUUGAUGCAGCAGUGAGGAGAGGUGUUGAUAUCCUUUGCGUCCAAGAAAUCAAAUGGAGAGGACAGAAGGCGAAGGAGGUGGAGGAUACCGGCUUCAAGCUGUGGUACACGGGGACGGCUGCAAACAGAAAUGGCGUAGACAUCUUGAUCAACAAGAGCCUCAAGUAUGGAGUGGUAGACGUCAGGAGACGUGGGGACCGGAUUAUCCUGGUCAAGCUGGUAGCUGAGGACUUGGUUCUCAAUGUUAUCAGCGCAUAUGCCCCGCAAGUAGGCCACAAUGAGAACACCAAGAGGGAGUUCUGGGAAGGCUUGGAAGACAUGGUUAGGAGUGUACCGAUUGGUGAGAAGCUCUUCAUAGGAGGAGACCUCAAUGGCCACGUGGGUACAUCUAACACAGGUUUUGAAGGGGCGCAUGGGGGCUUUGGCUAUGGCAUCAGGAAUCAAGAAGGAGAAGAUGUCUUAAGCUUUGCUCUAGCCUACAACAUGAUUGUAGCUAACACCCUCUUUAGAAAGAGAGAAUCACAUCUGGUGACUUUUAGUAGUGGCCAACACUCUAGCCAAAUUGAUUUCAUCCUCUCGAGAAGAGAAGAUAGGCGUGCGUGCCUAGACUGUAAGGUGAUACCUGGGGAGAGUGUUGUACCCCAGCAUAAGCUGGUGGUUGCUGACUUCCGCUUUCGGAUUCGUGUCCAGCGGGAUAAGCGUGCCAAGGUCGCUAGAACGAAGUGGUGGAAGCUCAAGGGGGAGGUAGCUCAGGUGUUCAAGGAGAGGGUAUUUAAGGAGGGCCCUUGGGAGGAAGGAGGGGAUGCGGACAAUGUGUGGAUGAAGAUGGCGACUUGCAUUCGUAAGGUGGCCUCGGAGGAGUUUGGAGUGUCCAGGGGAAGGAGAAGCGAAGAUAAGGAUACCUGGUGGUGGAAUGAUGAUGUCCAGAAGGCGCUUAAAGAGAAGAAAGAUUGCUUCAGACGCCUAUACCUGGAUAGGAGUGCAGACAACAUAGAGAAGUACAAGAUGGCGAAGAAGGCCGCAAAGCGAGCUGUUGGUGAAGUAAGGGGUCGGGCAUAUGAGGACCUCUACCAACGGUUAGGCACGAAGGAAGGUGAAAGGGACAUCUAUAAGAUGGCUAAGAUCCGGGAGAGGAAGACGAGGGAUAUUGGCCAAGUCAAAUGCAUCAAGGACGGAGCAGGCCAACUCUUGGUGAAGGACGAAGAGAUUAAGCAUAGAUGGCGGGAGUACUUCGACAAGCUGUUCAAUGGGGAGAAUGAGAGUUCUACCAUUGAACUGAAUGACUCCUUUGAUGAGACCAGCAUGCGUUUUGUGCGGCGCAUCCAGGAGUCUGAGGUGAAGGAGGCUUUAAAAAGGAUGAAAGAAGGCAAGGCGAUGGGCCCUGAUUGUAUCCCCAUUGAGGUGUGGAAAGGUCUCGGGGACAUAGCGAUAGUAUGGCUAACCAAGCUUUUCAACCUCAUUUUUCGGGCAAACAAGAUGCCAGAAGAAUGGAGACGGAGUAUAUUAGUACCAAUCUUCAAGAACAAGGGGGAUGUUCAGAGUUGUACUAAUUACCGUGGAAUUAAGCUGAUGAGCCAUACAAUGAAGCUAUGGGAGAGAGUCAUUGAGCACCGCUUAAGAAGAAUGACAAGCGUGACCAAAAAUCAGUUUGGUUUCAUGCCUGGGAGGUCGACCAUGGAAGCCAUUUUCUUGGUACCACAACUUAUGGAGAGAUAUAGGGAGCAUAAGAAGGACUUGCAUAUGGUGUUCAUUGACUUGGAGAAGGCCUAUGAUAAGAUACCGCGGAAUGUCAUGUGGUGGGCCUUGGAGAAACACAAAGUCCCAGCAAAGUACAUUACCCUCAUCAAGGACAUGUACAAUGAUGUUGUGGCAAGUGUUCGAACAAGUGAUGUCGACACCGAUGACUUCCCGAUUAAGAUAGGACUGCAUCAGGGGUCAGCUUUGAGCCCUUAUCUUUUUGCAUUGGUGAUGGAUAAGGUCACAAGGGGUAUACAAGGAGAUAUCCCAUGGUGUAUGCUCUUUGCGGAUGAUGUGGUGCUAGUUGACGAUAGUCGGACGGGGGUAAAUAGGAAGUUAGAGUUAUGGAGACAAACCUUGGAAUCGAAAGGGUUUAGGCUUAGUAGAACUAAAACCGAGUACAUGAUGUGCGGUUUCAGUACUACUAGCUGUGAGGAGGAGGAGGUUAGCCUUGAUGGCCAGGUGGUACCUCGGAAGGACACCUUUCGGUAUUUGGGGUCAAUGUUGCAGGAGGAUGGGGGUAUUGAGGAAGAUGUGAACCAUCGAAUCAAAGCCGGAUGGAUGAAGUGGCGCCAAGCUUCUGGCAUUCUCUGUGACAAGAGAGUGCCACAAAAACUAGAAGGCAAGUUCUACAGGACGGCGGUUCGACCCGCAAUGUUGUAUGGCGCGGAGUGUUGGCCGACUAAAAGGCGACAUGUUCAACAGUUAGGUGUGGCGGAGAUGCGUAUGUUGAGAUGGAUGUGUGGCCACACGAGGAAGGAUCGAGUCCGGAAUGAUGAUAUACGAGAUAGAGUUGGGGUAGCACCAAUUGAGGAGAAGCUUGUCCAACAUCGUUUGAGAUGGUUUGGGCAUAUUCAGCGCAGGCCUCUAGAAGCUCCAGUACAUAGCGGACGGCUAAAGCGUGCGGAGAAUGUCAAGAGAGGGUGGGGUCGACCGAUUUUGACAUGGGAGGAGUCCGUUAAGAGAGACCUGAAGGAUUGGAGUAUCGACAAAGAGCUAGCUAUGGACAGGGGUGCGUGGAAGCUUGCUAUCCAUGUGCCAGAGCCAUGAGUUGGUUGCGAGAUCUUAUGGGUUUCACCUCUAGCCUACCCCAACUUGUUUGGGACUAAAGGCUUUGUUGUUGUUGUUGUAUCUAUUAAUGCAUAUACUUUAACUCAACGCAUACUGUGCUUGAGCGUUCAUUUUUUCCAUUGUAAGUUGCCUUAUCUUUAUUAGCAUGAGAAAGCAAUGAUUCAUUCUUUCCAUUAUUCCUUAAGUAUACAAUUAACUCAAGGUUUUUCAAUGGAUAUGAUAAGCUGGAGAAGAAGAAAUGAGCAGGCAAGAAGCCAAUGACUACCACAUAUAAUCAGGUCAGUACAAAACAAGCAGACUUGGUAAAUAAUCAAAGCAAAAGCAGACUUGGUAAAUAAUCUCAGUCAAGUCAAAUUACAGGGUCUUAACGGCUGAAAUCAUUUCAUAGAUACAUCAGGACUAAAUCAAAGCAAAAGCAAAAACUGCAGAGGGAAAAAAAGAGGAGUCAUUGGAGAGCUAUACCAAAGCUGUAGCCCCAUGGUUUAGUUGUGAUAACUGAAGGUCCAACACUUGUAAAAGAUUCCAUAUAAUUGUCGGUAACAACUGUCAGCCUCUACCCUGGGGUCAGGCUUCCACUCUUGGUCUGCCAAUGCGUGAGAAAGAUGGAACAUAGGGAAGAUAUGGAGGAAAUGUAUGAUACGAGUGCUCUUUUAGACUGCAGAUAACACGAGCUUUACCACGGUCCAUGUCAUAUGACAGUAACACAUCCUCGCACCUCCAAACAAAGAAUAUCAAAUUGCAUUCAGGAUGGAUUGCGAUGAAAGCAUAGUCCCUUUGCAACAAGAGAUCAGCAUAGUCCCGUUGUAACGUGACAUCCUUCUCCCCAAAAGCUCCCCGAAAAGUUGUGAAGUGCUGAUGUUGUACUUAAAGAUCCAUUCAUUACCAUUAUAGUCCUCAAGAAUCCAGACUGAUAAUUUGGAGCUAUCAUUGUCUCUCAUAUUUAUAUAAUACAGUCGCCCUUGAGAUUGACCAAUAAAAGCAAGGUCACCUAAAUAAAUGUUUUCAUCACACAUAGUUUCCAGCAAAGAAAUGGUCCUCCAUGUCUUACCCUCAGUGUCAACUGCUAGUAUCUUAAACUCACGUGUGAGCAAGUGCAUCAUUCCAUUGAAAAAGACCUCUCAUCUCAACUAUCUGAAUCUCAUUGUCGCCCCAACCAUUUUCCUUGUAACUCCAGGCUCCUGUCUCUGAUGAGUAGAUAUUAACACCUGAGAUAUAUCCAUAGUCCUCAUCAUCCUCUAGGAUCUGGAACACAUGGAAGUGGAGUGACAUGGCUCCAUCGAAACCCAAACGGUAGGCUAUUGCAUCACUUUUAUGGCCAGCAUCAGGCAGGACUACCCAUUCCUCAGUGGCAGGAUUGCAUACCACAUAAUCGGCUUCGUCUAUUGGGGAGUCCUUCCAGCAGAGGCAGAAAAUAAGGCCAUUGCAGCAGUCCUUUGGGAAAAUCUGCCUGUAUGCGGUCAAGAAGGGCAACGAGGAAUCAGGGAAUAGCUGCUCUUGAUCCCUUGAAAUACCAUCAAAAGUGGGAAAUGUUAUCACAUCAUACUCAUCAUUGAGUCUGUGCUUGGGGUAGAAGAAGCCGGAGAUGGUCUGGGGAAGCCUUUUGCGGUGUUCAGGGUGGGAGAUGAGGCUGUACCAGAGCCGGGAGACACACUUGAAUCGGCACACUGACUUGACUGGCAGCAGGGACAGAAUCUCGAUGAUAAGGUCAUCUGUAAGGUCAGCAACAGAGGUUGCCCCGUUCUUGGAGCGGUUCAUCUGUGUGCAAGCCAAUCUGACAAGUUGAGAAGGAAAACGAAAAUAACCAGAUCAAACAUCAGUGCAGGACAGAAUGAAAGGAUGGAAGAAAGAGCACGGAGGCAGAACAGGCAUACCAGUCUACUGAAGCACGGAGCGGCAACAAUGGAAGUGGCUAUCAACGGCGGUUCUGCGGCUGACGGCUGGGAACAAAAGUUACAGUGGCUCAGAUAGUUGAAUUAAUUGCCAAACAACAAAGAAUAAAUCAAAAUAGUACAAGCUAUUGAUAGCGGCGUGUAACAAGUUUGCUAAUACUAUUUGAAACUUACUGGUUGCAAACAACGCCUGAGGACAAAACGUCAAGACUUAAAUACACUUUGUGAAAGCUAAAUGUAAAGGUAGUCUUUUGUUUUCAUCGGUUCCUUCAUUCUCACCAACGACCGCCUCGAGGAUGGAGUGCCAGGCACGGUGGGCUGCAAGUCGGACGCCUGAGUCUGACGGACGUGCCUGAGUGAAGCUACGUCUCUUUGAUCAGUUAUCUUUCCAGAAUAAAUACUAGCUAGGGUUUUCAAUUUUGCUCCCAGUGUAUCCAUAAAUGAGACAUUUGUUCAAGGAGGAACCCUUCCGGGAAUGUAAUUACGAAUAAAUGGUUUAUUUCCAAAUUAGCGCCAUCUCAGUGUGGCAACCAAACACGAAACGUAGAGUCUCAAGCAAAUCGCUCCAGUGCAGCAACCAAGCUAGCCCAACAUGGUUAACAAUGUGACAUCUUUGUUCUACAACCACUCCAUUAAGUACAAGUUCAAAAACGUAGUCUAGCCGACUAACUAUUAACAUGGAUACACGGUGUUAGAAUUUUACAGGCUCCUUUUACAACUUUUUUGUUUUUGUUUUUGAGAAUCCUUUCAGAAUUUUUAUUGAGGCACUUGACUUGCAUUUCUGUGACUGUGACUAUACAUCUGUUACUUCGACGCAGAACCUAACGCUGGAGGAGUAUUAGCUGCAAAGAAAUGAGACCGCCCAUAGCAGUUAACCUAAAUAGUACUUCCUCCAUUCCUAAAUAUAAAGUCUUCUAGAGUUUUUAAUAUGGACCACAUAAGGAUGUAUAUAGACAUAGUUUAGAGGGUAGAUUCACUCAUUUUGCUCCGUAUGUAGUCUAUAUUGAAAUCUGUAGAAACACUUGUAUUUAGGAACGGAGGGAGUAGUUUUGAUGUCGUACCUAUUAAGUCAGACGCCGCUGCUCAACCUCCGCUUGUCCUGUCCUGCCGGCGAGCUUCCAGACCGCCGCCGCUGCCCGCCACAUCCGGGAUCGGCAGGAGCUCAAUCCAUGCUGCCGCAUAGUCAAUCCAUGGUCCGAUUUAGGGAUCGGGUCUCAAGAUUUGAGAGAGGGCUGGAGGAUUUGGGGAUUAGGGUUCUUGUUCGUCCUGUCUCCUGUGUGUAUGAGGCCGUUUGUGAUUUUGUGGGGAGUGCGUCACGCAAGGAGAAGACGCUCUACGGGCUUCGGCCCAAAUUAGACCGGCCCGCAGAAAACUCGGCCCUAAAAUCUUGUGACUGACAUAAUAAAGCUUUAGCGGUUUCUCAAAAAAAAAAAAGCUUUAGCGAGAUUGUCAAAAAGAAACUGUAGUAAUUGUUGUGAAAUCAUUGGUCAAGGAUACUCUUUGCAAAUGUCAUCCUCACAUCUUUUUGUGAUGACAAAUGGUGUACUGUAUGUACGACACUUGUCACAGCCUAGGUUUUUUUUUGUAUAUUCAUUCUUCCUAAACUUUUUAUCUAUUAAAUCUUGCGCCCAAACCAUGAACCAUUAUUAUCCUUGCGUUUCUUGCGUUGACAUCUUCAAAAUUAGAUCUCAUGUUAAUAGAUUCGGACAAACCUUUUUCUGAAAAAAGCAGAAAACAAAAAAAUCAGAAACUAAUUCUUUUGGAAAAAUGGAAAUAAAAAUAAAAAUCAGAAAAAACACAUAGUGUGCUUCACGCGAGGAAAACACACAAAAAAAGUAUGGAUCUUUUUUGUCGAGAAAAUUUAUGAAAUAACAAACAAAAUCUUAAAAAAACGCAUGGAGACAAAAAAUUGUGCUCCCACAGAUGUGCCCAAAGCAUGACAUGUGACGGCGGUUGGCCAUAUCACGCGGUUCACCCAUGCGUACCCGCUGUGAACUCCUCCCGGGGAUACCGUUGGUUAGUUGACCCCAUUCUUAAGAGCUCUUAUUUACCACCCGCAAGCUUGGCUGAUAGCAAGAGCAGGUUGGUGGCACAAUUUGCCCGUGAGCGAUAUAAAAAAAAUCUUCAGUCUUUUAGGUUGUUUCUCACCCCCCCCCCUCCCAAAUAGUUGUUAUUUUUUAAAAUUAAAAUGGUUGUUAUUUCUUAGGAGCUACAUAUUUGAAAACCUAUUAAUUUUAAUAAUAUUCUUUAGAAAAUUGUUCAGUAUGUUUUUUAUAAAAAAUUUGUAUAUUAAAAAAAGUUCAUCAUAUAUUUAAAAAGUUCAGUAGGAAGAAAUGAAUAUGACAUGUAGGCCCACAUAGUAAGUGAGAGAAGUGAGUGAUCCCAGUUUAAUUUCGACCACACAUACAAUACAACUUCAAGGUUUAAAAUAGACUUUACUCAACCCACUCCAUUUCCUGUGAUCUUUAAAAACGGAGGCAUACACGCUCCUGGCCUUGCAAGGACACCAUUAAGGUCAGGCAAAAACUCCCAAAGGUAACACAACUUCAAGUUGUUCCUUCCAAGAUUGAUAUAAGUAGCGGUCAACAUAUAUGGGAAAUACGGACCUGGCAAUUGCGUCCAGGAUUCAGGAUUCACGUACAAGAAGCACAUUUCAUAAAGGCAUCACACUGUCUCCCAUAAACCACAAAUCACAUUGCGGCCUUGAUGGGUUGUGGAUAAACUGUAGAGAGAUCCAUUAAUGCAUAUACUUUAACUCGACGCAUACGUGCUACAACCAGGCCCGUCGAGGAGGGUGUGCAAGCGGUGCAAUCGCACAGGGCCCCGCAAAUCGUAGGGGCCCCGAUCAGAGAAAAAAACCAUGAUAUGAUCCGGUUCAUGCGCUGCAUGUUUGACUUUUUUAACUGGCUCGCCUGAUCCUACCGCAAGAAAACUGCAGCCGAAUGCAGCAACUCGCAGUCUCAUCGUUACGGGUGAGGCCCAUAGUCUUUUUUUACGAGUGAGGCCCAUAGUCAAUAUCGUCGUUCUCCACUAGUCGCAGCAAACAGGCCCCCAGCCGGAUGCACGAGAUCAAAUAGAUAGUUUUGUCUCUCCGAAAAAAAAAAACAACUUCACCAAAGAGAAAUAGGGAGGCGCCGUCUACCUGCUUCUACGAAGGGACGAGCUGCCGAUAGAUGGCGGACGGCCACCGCGCGUCCGCUGUACGGCCGAACGUGGGCACCUAUUUCCCUGCUGCAGCAGUCUCAUCUGAUCAUCCCAGAAUAUAUUCCGAGGUACUCCCUCCGUUCCGAAUUACUUGUCACAGGUAUGGAUGUAUCUAGAUGUAUUUUAGUUCUAGAUACAUCUAUUUCUGCGACGAGUAAUUUAGAAUGGAGGGAGUAAGUCGUAAUCCAUAAGCCCGGAUUCAAAAUAUGCGGACGAGAAACUAGUUAGGGUUAUAUAUUUUUUGAUACAAUUCUGGUUUUUUUGAUGUUUUCAUAUCGUACCGAAUGCAAUCCCUACAAAUAGAGCAGUGCUACUCCACUAGGCCUGUACUUCAUUUUAAUCAAAAUUAAUAGGCUUGAGACAUUACCCGCAAUCUAAUUUUUAAUUCUAGUACCAUUCUUUGGUGUGUGCUUUUCUACUAUACUACUAGCAUAUUUCAUUGCAAAAAAGACUCAAUCGAUUUUUUCUUUUAUGAGAAUAGACUCGACAGAUUUAAAGAUUUUGUUUAAGAAAUACUAGACAGAUGAUGCUUUUCGGUAGAAUAUACGUUUACUCUUUCGCAUUACUAUGUGAUAAAUAUUAUACGAAAUAACACAUAUUCAAAACUAUAUUAUUAAGUGAAAAUAUGUCUAGUUAUAUUAGUUAUACAAUUUUCUGCAAACCUUUGGGCCCCGUGUCACAUUUUGCACUGGGGCCCCAAAUUCCUGGAGACGGCCCUGGCUACAACGUCCAUAUGUUCCAUUGUAAGUUGCCUUAUUUCUAUUAGCAUGAGAAAGCAACAAUUCAUUCUUACAUACGUUUAGAUUUUUUCAUUAUUCCCUGAGGAUACAUCGAACUCAAGGUUUUUCAAUGGAUAAGAUAUACUGGAAGAGAAAUGAGCAGGCAAGAAACCAAUGAGUAGCACAUAUAAUCAGGUCACUCAAAAACAAGCAGACUUGGUAAAUAAUUUCAGUCAAGUCAAACUAGAGGGUCUUAAUGACUGAAACUAUUUCAUAGAUAUAUCAGGACUAAACCAAAGCAAAAGCAAAAACCACAGAGAGAAAAAAGAAAAGCAUUAAGAGCUAUACCAAGCUGUAGCCCUAUGGUUUAGUUGUGAUAAACUGAAGGCCCAACACUUGUAAAAGACUCCAUAUCAUUGUCGGUAACAACUGUCAGCCCCCACCCUGGAGUCAUGCUUCCACCCUUGGUCUGCCAAUGUGCGAGUAAAGUGGAACAUAGGGAAGAUAUGGAGGAAAUGUGUCGGAGAAGUGGCUUUUCAGACUGCAGAUAACACAAACUUCACCACUGUCCAUGUCAUGACACUAGCACAUCCUUGCUCCUCCAAACAAAGAAUAUCAAAUUGCAUUCAGGAUGGAUUGCGAUCAAAGCAUAGUCCCUUUGCAACAUGAGAUCAGCAUAGUCCUGUUGUAAGUUGAGAUCCUUCUCCCCAAAAAGCUCCAAAAUAAGUUGUGCAAUGCUGAUGCUGUACUUAAAGGUCCAUUCAUUACCAUUAUAGUCCUCAAGAGUCCAGACAGAUAAUUUGGAGCUAUCGUUGUCUGUCGUAUUUAUAACAUACAAUCGCCCUUGGGAUUGACCGAUAAAAGCAAGAGGACCUACAAAAAGUUUCCCAGAAUCAUAGUUUCCAGCAAAGAAAUGGUCCUCCAUGUCUUACCCUCAGUGUCAACCGCUAGUAUCUUAAACUCAUAGGUGAGCAAGUGCAUCAUUCCAUUGAAAAAGACACCUCUCAUGUCAACUAUCUGAAUCUCAUUGUCGCCCCAACCAUUUUCCUUGUAACUCCAGGCUCCUGUCUCCGAUGAGUAGAUAUUAACACCUGAGACAUAUCCAUAUUCAACAUCACCCUCUAGGAUCUGGAACACAUGGAAAUGGGGUGACAUGGCUGCAUCGGAACCCAAACGAUAUGCCAAUGCAUUGCUUUCAUGGCCAGCAUCAGGCAGGACUACCCAUUCCUCAGUGACAGGAUUGCAUACCACAUAAUCGGCUUCGUCUAUUGGGGAGUCCUUCCAGCAGAGGCAGAAAAUAAGGCCAUUGCAGCAGUCCUUUGGCAAAAUCUGCCUGUAUCCCGUCAAGAAGGCCAACGAGGAAUCAGAGAAUGGCUGCUCUUGGUUCCCCAAAAUACCAUCAAAAGUGGGAAAUGUUACCAAAUCACCCUCGUCGUUGAGCCUGUGCUUGGGGUAGAAGAAGCCGGAGAGGGUCUUGGGCAGCUUCUUGCGGUGUUGGGAGAUGAGGCGGUACCAGAGCGAGGAGACACACUUGAAUCGGCACACUGACUUGACAGGCAGCAGGGACAGAAUCUCGACGAUAAGGUCAUCUGGAAAGUCAGCAGAGGAGGUUGCCCCGUUCUUGGAGCAUUUCAUCUGUGUGCAAGCCAUUCUGACAAGUUGAGAUGGAAAGCGGAAAUAAUCAGAUCAAAUAUCAGUGCAGGACAGAAUGAAAGGCCGGAAGGAAGAGUAUAGAGGCAGAACAAACAUACCAGUCUACUGAAGCAGGGAGCGCCAACAAUGGAAGUGGCUGUAAACAGUAGUUCUAUGGCUGGCAGCUGGGAACAAUAGUUACAGUGACUCAGAUAGUUGAAUAAAACGCCAAACAACAAAGAAUAAAUCAAAAUAGGACAAGCUAUUGAUAGCAACAUAAACAAGCUUGCUAAUACUAUUUGAAACUUAUUGGUUGCAAACAAUGACAUGACCAAUUAUAGUUCUAGUCGUACAAAUAUUGACGACACACAAGCUGCUGGUCUGGACCAAGCUAUUGCUGCUCCAUUAGAGGUCGCAGCUGGCGGUGUAUAUGUUCCGACUUCCGACAAAUCUACGAUUGAGCUACAAGACCGCAGAUGAGCUACUGUUCUAUAUAUGCAUGUUUAUGUUUUGCAGAACGGAAGGGGUAUGGACCAAAGUGAGAUAUAUAGUACAGGAAAUAAAGGAGAACAAUAAUAAUACUUGUGGAGAGGCCAGAUUCUACACGUACAUAUUUGGAGGCAAGCCGUACAGGUAUUUUAUUAUUUUGCAUGAUUACGUGAGAGAGAUAGCUGGAUGGAGAUAUUAUUAUUUUGCAAACAAACUAAUUAAAGUGGAGGACCUAUCUGCUGCACUUAUAUGGUAUAAAUGGCAGAGGCUGGUAAUCAUCUACUCCUAUUCCUACCACGCAGAGAAAGAAAGUGGGGAUGUAUUUCCAUAGGUGAUUUGUCGAGUCUUUGUGCUGUUGGAUGGGGGCCACCUGCAAGCUUGGGGAUGAUGUCGGUUGCUAAUAUAUUAGGAUAGAGUUGUUUAGUUGAGGUGUGGCCGAGAUGCAAAAGGCUUGCACUACCUAAUAUAAAUAAGAGUUUGGUUCGCUUUUACGUACGUGCCGUUUCUUGUCGUCUAAGUUUUUGUCAAGUCGGCUACUCUAUAAAGCCAGGGUAUGAGACAUUGUAAGUCAGGAUAUUUUAGAUGAAUUAGACACUAUGCGUGUUCCGGCCCGUCGGCCAUUAUCGAGUUUAGAGAAAUCUUGUUAAAAAUCUCUACCGGCGUAUGAGUUCCUGCGACACGACACAUAGGAGAUCACAAGCUGAGGCUCUACGGUUCGUUCACGUUAAUUAUUCCUUCGGAUCUAGAGGUUAGCGUGUUGUUUCGGCAGGAUUUGCGAACAUCUUCGUAAACAUGCUACGAUUACUUGCUGCCAUGGAGGUUUGUUACUAGAAUUUUAAAGGCUCCUUUUAAACUUUUUGGUUUUGAUGAGAAUCCUUUUAGAAGUUUCAUCGAGUCACUUGACUUGCAUUGCUGUGACUCCGAGUAUACAUCUGUAACUUCCACGCAGCUCCUAAGGCUAGAGGAAAACUACUGGAAACGAAGAAACGAGACCACCCAUAGCACGCUAAAUAGUUUUGAUGUCAUACCUAGUAAUUCAGGCGCCACUCUCAACCCUCCGCUUGUCCUGUCCUGCCGGCGAGCUUCCGGGCCGCCGCCGCUUCCCCCCGUUUCGCCGCCGCUGCCCGCCAAAUCCGGGAUCGACAGGAUCUCAAGCCAUGCUGCCGCAUAGUCAAUCCAUGGUCUGAUUUAGGGAUCAGGUCUCCAGAUUUGAGAGUGGGCUGGAGGAUUUGGGGGUUAGGGUUCUUGUUCGCCCUGUGCAAAGGCCGUUUGUGCGGGGGAGUUUUUUUUUUCUUUCCAGUAUACUGAUAUAGUGAUAUUUUCUUUCUCUGAGAACUACUGAUAUAGUGAUAUGCAUCGCGCCAUAGCCUGCCUGUAGCGGCGAUCGCUCACAGGGACCGGAUAGAUGGGCCAGGCCCAGCGCGAAGAAAACGCAAAACACUCCGAUGCAAGGCUUUGGAUCAUUGGAUGGGGGGAAUUAUGGAGUCCAUGCAAGAAGCAUAAUCUAUCUAAAAAAAACACAAGAAGCAUAUAAUCCUAUACGUAUACUAGCAAAAAUGCCCGUGCGUCACAAAAAAUAUAUAAAUAUUGUACAUGCAAAUCCAACAAUACAUGAACUAAAUGAAGCAUAUGGUUAGUAUAUUAGUAUAUAUACAUUUGAAAUUGUAGUGGCUCAACACCGAUCGUCUAGUAUAUACUAGUAUUAAAACAUGCAACAUUUGGUUUUAUCCUCGAUAAGAAAUACACAUUGGAUGUAUAAAUAUCCUAAGAAAAUUAUUUAAAAGUAGUAUAUGAGAUUCUUCUUAUAAAAAUGACAGAACACACAAGAAACUUGGAAGUGCUUAAUAGCAUUACAUAUGUGAGAAUUAAUCUAAGUCCAGCAUAUAAUCGAAGGGUAGCAAAUAUAUGUUAUAUGAAUGCCCACGUAUGUUAUACGUGCAGCAUGGGGCUGCAGUGGUCGGUCUCUCUCGAUGCAGCUUCACUGAUUUAAUCAGGUCUUCAUCGGGUCUUUGCCUAAGUAUGUCCUCAUUUAAUUAAGGAGGGAUCAUCUCACCGAUUUAACCAGGUCUUCGUCGAGUCUUCGCCCACGUACGUACGUCCUCCUCUAAAUAAGGAGGGAUCAUCAUGCAUGCAAAGAGCAUGUCGUUGCGUCAUUGGUCUAUGUAGGUUCACCGAUUUAAUUAGGUCUUCAUCGGGUCUUUUUCCCAUUAAUUUCACCAUAUAUGUCUCUAUGGUAAACGGGCCAACUCUUUUCCUCCCCGUUAAUUCCGUCAUGGAUGUCUCUCACGAAUCUCAGAUCUUUCCUUUCCUUCCUUAGUAAGGAUAAACGAGCCCACUAGUUACCACCCCGCCCCCUCCUUAUUUGUAAUUCUCAAGAUGACUGGUUGACUUCAGCUUGCUAACGUAUAUAAAUUGGUAGUACUGCGUGUAAAUAAGCGAGGUGGUACUAUAUAAGAGAAGCGAAACAUGUUGCUCAAGGAUCCUCACAGGGAGCGCGAUAUGCAAGACAUGCUCGCGAAAUCUUUUAGUGACCCAAAUCCCACAUAUAUGGGAGGGACCCCAUGUGGAGACUUUCGCACACGACUACAUAGUGUAGUGUGCUAGUCUUUGGAAUACCGUUAGGAAACAACUUUUCACCAACACUAUGCCCAUCAGAAUAGUACUCUCUCCGUCCGAAAAUACUUGUCCUCGAAAUGGUUGUAUCUAGACUUAUUUUAGUUAUAGAUACAUCCAUCUUAUCUAUUUCUAGGACAAGUAUUUACGGACGGAGGGAGUACGAUGGUAGCAGUGAAUGGUCCAUUUGCAUUACAUAGUUACAUUACAUGCCAAGAUAGUACAAUCUUCCACUUACAAGAACUGAAGUAUAAGCUUUAUACAAGUGCUAACAAAACUUGUAAGAAAAAGCCCAACUGUAAGGUGAUAACCCUACAGCUAUCACUACCGGUCUAGGCUAGUCUUGCGGCUCAAUAACUCUAUCAUGGUGCACUAUGAUCAUGGGUCCACAUCUUCAUCUCCUUUGCAAUCAUGGUAGUCCUUCCCCUCCAGGUGGUAUCUUCUCCUUUGGUCCUUCUGGAACUCCGACAAGUUCAUAUUGACAUCUAUCAACCUAGGCCUAAUGGAGACAAGAUAUCAAGGGAAUACCUUGUAUAAGUCAAGUUUUUUUUACUUAAAUUCAAGUUUUAGCAGCUUCGCAGUUAGCAAUCCACCUUUGAGGUGCUUCCUCAACCUCCUCACUUUGAAUUAACAUCUCACAAUUGGUGUAUUGAUGUUGCAGGGGGCAUUCCAGUUUUUAUAAACUAUAUCCUUGAAACCCCCAAUUUGCAACCACCGCUUAUCAAAUCUAAAUUGCUUAUUUUUAUGUGGUAAGAUAGCACCGGUGUCAAUAACCAGGGGUGUACGAUCACUUCCAACCCUAGGCAUCGUUUUCAUUUGGACAACAGGGAAUAAAGUUUCCCACUAUGCAGAAAUAAAAACUCUGUUUCUGGUGGACAUGAUGAGGUUGUCCUAGUUAUUGGCCCAUGUAAAUCUCCUACCAACAUUCUUAUGUUUAAUAUAGUCAAACUUGUUAAUCCAAUCAUUGAACAAAUUAGCCCAAAGUUUUUACACCAUUAUUCUUGUCCCUAUGUUGCCUAACAUGGUUAAAAUCCCCCCCAACAUUAUGCAACUCAUUAAUAAUUCAAGUUUAUGUUCACCAUAAGGAGAACCACAACCAGAAAUAAACCCCCAAGUAGUUGAAUAUUACUUGCACUUAAUCAUCCAAGAAAUAAGAAAAGCAAAGCACUAAACACAAUAACCUCAAAACAUUAUUUUUAUGCCAACUAGGAUACGCUCAGCUGCGUAAUCACCAAGAAGCCAAUUCCGCUCAAAUUCACCAAGUUUAUCUAAUAUUUAGAUUCGAGAGUUAGAAAAAUCUACUUCUUAGUUUCAAGAAAACCAGUGAAUUAGGGUUUUUAUUUGUAAUGAGCUCAUUUUUAGGCUUAUUUAAGCCUCUGCCAUUCCAGAUUAGACCAACUACCAUUUUAAGCUGGUGGAUAGAGAUUUUCUACAACCUUUCCUUCCACUGGAUUCCACCCAAAAGUGGGGGUCAUCAUCACCAUUAAUGUGGGAUGUAGAGGAAGGCGCAACAACAUUAAAAAUAGAGCAAGACGUACUGACAAAUUCUUCACGGUGGAUAUCAAUAUCAGGUGGCAGAAACAUGUCAAGAUGAUCACUAUGAAACUUUUUGAGUCUACCGAGCUUAGUGGCCUUAGUUAUAUCCAUUUCCGACUAAUCUCAGCAAUGGAUUCACCUAACUUUGCAUGAUUCAAUUUUUUUAGCCAAAUCAAUUUUCAUUGACUUUUUAGAUGACGUUGACUUAUUAAUUUUUUGAUUGGGGGUUGUUGAUUUGUUAAAUAGGAAAGCCUAUUUUUCUCUGGACCGAACAGUGUCUGGCCCAGUAAACUCUGAUUCCGGCCCGCUCAGCAUUUAGGUGCAAGGCCUGUUAAGCCGCCCCGAAUCGAUACGCUCGCCGCGACCGUCAGAUCAUCCUAAAAUCUGACACCCAGACCCCACGCGUCAUCCCCAUCCUCCCCUCCGACUCUAGACUGAAUCACCUCCGCCGCGUCCGAUCCUAAAAUCUCCGCAAUUCGGCAGGAUUUAGGCCCCUCGGGUAAGAUUGCUCCCCUAUAAAUACAGAGCCAGAGAGUUCAUCAUCGAGCCAGGGAGCACUCGCCGGAGUCCACCAUCGCCGCCGCACCUCCAGUCAAGCACCGCGACGCGAGGAAGAUGUCAUCGAAGCCGCAGAGCACACCCCAAGAUCCACCGCCACCGGGAGAGCAUCGUCCGCCUCUCAAUCGGGACCAGAGAUCAACAGAGCGCCGACCCAAGCAAACCCUCGCGCGCUCUGAUCUACAACCACAUCAUCAUGUCGGUGGAGCGACCGUCGCCGUCCCUUUUGCCCUGAUACGUCUCCAACGUAUCUAUAAUUUUUGAUUGUUCCAUGCUAUUAUAUUAUCUGUUUUGGAUGUUUAAUGGGCUUUAAUUUACCUUUUUAUAUUAUUUUUGGGACUAACCUACUAACCAAAGGCCUAAUGAAAAUUGCUAUUUUUUUUGCCUAUUUCAGUGUUUCAUAAAAAAGGAAUAUCAAACAAAAUCUAAACGGAAUGAAACCUUCGGGAGAGUUAUUUUUGGAACAAACAUGAUCCAGGAGACUUGGAGUGGACGUGAAGAAAGAAGCGAGGAGGCCAUGAGGCAGGAGGGCGCGCCCAGGGGGGUAGGCGCGCCCCACCCUCAUGGGCCCCUCGCAGCUCCACCGAUGUACUUCUUCCUCCUAUGUAUACCCAUAUACCCCAAAAACAUCCAGGAGCACCACGGAACCCUAUUCCCACUGCCGCAACCUUCUGUACCCGUGAGAUCCCAUCUUGGGGCCUUUUCCGGCGCUCCGCCAGAGGGGGGAUCGAUCACGGAGGGCUUCUACAUCAACACCAUAGCCUUUCCGAUGAUGUGUGAGUAGUUUACCACAGACCUUCGGGUCCAUAGUUAUUAGCUAGAUGGCUUCUUCUCUCUCUUUGGAUCUCAAUACAAAGUUCUCCUCGAUUCUCUUGGAGAUCUAUUCGAUGUAAUUCUUUUUGCGGUGUGCAUGUCGAGAUCCGAUGAAUUGUGAGUUUAUGAUCAAGAUUAUCUAUGAACAAUAUUUGAUUCUUCUCUGGAAUAUUUUAUGCAUGAUUUAGUAUCUUUGCAAGUCUCUUCGAAUUAUUAGUUUGGUUUGGACUACUAGAUUGAUCUUUCUUGCAAUGGGAGAAGUGCUUAGCUUUGGGUUCAAUCUUGCGGUGUCCUUUCCCAGUGACAGCAGGGGCAGCAAGGCACGUAUUGUAUUGUUGCCAUCGAGGAUAAAAAGAUGGGGUUUAUAUCAUAUUGCUUAACUUUAUACCUCUACAUCAUGUCAUCUUGCCUAAUGCGUUACUCUGUUCUUAUGAACUUAAUACUCUAAAUACAUGCUGGAUAGCGGUCGAUGUGUGGAGUAAUAAUAGUAGAUGCAGAAUCGUUUCAGUCUACUUGUCGCGGACGUGAUGCCUAUAUACAUGAUCAUGCCUAGAUAUUCUCAUAAGUACUCGCUUUUCUAUAAUGCAAAAUUUCUUGGGUAGCCAUACUUUUGAUUCUUAUAAUGCUAUGAUAGAUUUGUUUGGCUGACCACCUCUCUUGGUUAAUGGAACUAUUUUAACUUUGGAACAUGUGAUGCAAAGGCUUGAAAUUAUUAAAAAUAAAGUUGCCACUUUAGAGUUGAUUGAGAAUUUGGAUAAAAAGAUCCGCAACCAGAUUACCCAAUAUGGAUCUAUGGUAGGAGUUACUCUGAUUUUUUUAAAAUAAAAAUAACCCAUAGUCAAUGAAAAAAUAGAUCAAGAUUCCACAGGAAUUGAUAAACUUGAGGAUAUUAUUACCAACUUAGGGUCUGCCUUUUCUUCCGUGAAAAAUACUCCAAAUCCUCCCACUACUAGAGUUGCCAAGUUUAUGUAUGUGCCUAAAAAUAAAAAGGGUGAAUCUUCUAGUAAGGAAAAUGCGGAUCUUAAAGUAAUAAGCGUUCACCCCAACUUUUUCACUAUCAUUAAGGAACCUUUUGCUACAAUUGAUUUUCUUGAUUUCUUGCCUAGGAGUUUGAUCAUUAAUAAAAAGAAGGAAACUCCUAAGGGUUAUAAGUGUUCUAUUGAAGAAUUGCCUACCAAAGAUGAUAAUACCUAGAUCUAUUCUUAUUUUUAUACCUAGCUAGGGGCGUUAAACGAUAGCGCUUGUUGGGAGGUGAUACGUCUCCAACGUAUCUAUAAUUUUUGAUUGUUCCACGCUAUUAUAUUAUCUGUUUUGGAUGUUUAAUGGGCUUUAAUUUACACUUUUACAUUAUUUUUGCGAUAAACCUACUAACCAAAGGCCCAGUGCAAAUUGCUGUUUUUUUUGCCUAUUUCAGUGUUUCGCAGGAAAGCAAUAUCAAACGGAAUCCAAACGGAAUGAAACCUUUGGGAGAGUUAUUUUUGGAACAAACGUGAUCCAGGAGACUUGGAGUGGCCGUCAAGAAAGAAGCAAGGAGGCCACGAGGCAGGGGGGCGCGCCCAAGGGGGCAGGCGUGCCUCCCACCCUCAUGGGACCAUCGCAGCUCCACUGGCGUACUUCUUCCUCCUAUAUAUACCCAUAUACCCCGAAAACAUCCAGGAGCACCACGAAACACUAUUUCCACCGCCGCAACCUUCUAUACCCAUGAGAUCCCAUCUUGGGGCCUUUUCCGGAGCUCCGCCGGAGGGGGAAUCAAUCACGGAGGGCUUCUACAUCAACACCAUAGCCUCUCCGAUGAUGUGUGAGUAAUUUACCACAGACCUUCGGGUCCAUAGUUAUUAGCUAGAUGGCUUCUUCUCUCUCUUUGGAUCUCAAUACAAAGUUCUCCUCGAUCUUCUUGGAGAUCUAUUCGAUGUAAUUCUUUUUGUGGUGUGUUUGUCGAGAUCCGAUGACUUGUGGGUUUAUGAUCAAGUUUAUGUAUGAACAAUAUUUGAUUCUUCUCUGAAAUAUUUUAUGUAUGAUUGGUUAUCUUUGAAAGUCUAUUCAAAUUAUCAGUUUGGUUUGGCCUACUAGAUUGAUCUUUCUUGCAAUGGGAGAAGUGCUUAGCUUUGGGUUCAAUCUUGCGAUGUCCUUUCCCAGUGACAGCAGGGGCAGCAAGGCACGUAUUGUAUUGUUGCCACCGAGGAUAAAAAGAUGGGGUUUAUAUCAUAUUGCUUGAGUUUAUCCCUCUACAUCAUGUCAUCUUGCCUAAUGCGUUACUCUGUUCUUAUGAACUUAAUACUCUAGAUGCAUGCUGGAUAGCAGUCGAUGUGUGGAGUAAUAGUAGUAGAUGUGGAAUCGUUUCGGUCUACUUGUUGCGGACGUGAUGCCUAUAUACAUGAUCAUGCAUAGAUAUUCUCAUAACUAUGCACUUUUCUAUCAAUUGCUCGACAGUAAUUUGUUCACCCACCGUAAUACUUAUGCUAUCUUGAGAGAAGCCACUAGUGAAAGCUAUGGCCCUCGGGUCUAUCUUCCAUCAUAUUAUUUUCAUAUCCACUUGCUAUUUCUAUUUUUUGCAAUUUUUAUUUUCCAAUCUAUAUCAUAAAAAUACCAAAAAAAUUAUCUUAUUAUCUCUAUCAGAUCUCACUCUCGUAAGUGACUGUGAAGGGAUUGACAACCCCUUUAUCAUGUUGGUUGCGAGGUUCUUGUUUGUUUGUGCAGGUACUAGGUGACCUGUGUGUUAGCUCCUACUGGAUUCAUACCUUGGUUCUCAAAAACCGAGGGAAAUACUUACGCUACUGUGCUGCAUCACCCUUUCCUCUUCAAGGGAAAACCAACGCAUGCUCAAGAGGUAGCAAGAAGGAUUUCAGGCGCCGUUGCCGGGGAGGUUGCAUCAAGUCAAGACAUACCAAGUACCCAUCACAAACUCUUAUCCCUCGCAUUACAUUAUUUGCCUUUUGCCUCUCGUUUUCCUCUCCCCCACUUCACCCUUGCCGUUUUAUUCGCCCUCUUUUCCAUUCGCCUCUUUUUGCUUGCCUCUUGCUUGCUUGUGUGUUGGAUUGUUUGCCGCGAUGGCUUUACCAAAAAGUGUUGAUCCUCAGCUUAGAAGGUUGGAAGAAAUUGAAAACAAUGUUAGAAGUUUUAUGUCCUUGUAGUUUGAGCAUAAUAAUUUCUUCAGAAACGAGCUUAAAGAACAAAAAAGUUUUAUGGGGUACAUGAAUAAAGAGCUCGAUGAUAUGUCUAAAGAAUUUUAUGGUUUGAAAUCUCAGUUCGCUCAUCUUGAAAAAUUAAUAGCCCAAAUUUCGGAUAAGCAGGUCACCUUAGUUAAUAAGAUGGCCGCCAAACCAGAAGAACUAGACGAUAAUAAGGAUGGAGAUCUAAAAGUGAUUGAUGUGUCUCCUAUUAAAUCUUUGUUUUGCAAUAUGAAUCUUGAUAAUGAUGGGACUGAAGAUGAGUCAACUUUAGUUAAAAGGCGUCCCAAUGAUUCGGAGUUUUUAGAUCUUGAUGCAAAAAUUGGUAAAAUUAGGAUUGAAGAGGUCAAAACUUUACAUAACAACGAACCCACUAUUUUGGAUUUCAAGGAAUUUAAUUAUGAUAAUUGUUCUUUAAUAGAUUGUAUUUCCUUGUUGCAAUCCGUGUUAAAUUCUCCUCAUGCUUAUAGUCAAAAUAAAGCUUUUACCAAACAUAUUGUUGAUGCUUUAAUGCAAUAUUAUGAAGAAAAGCUUGAAUUAGAAGUUUCUAUCCCUAGAAAACUUUAUGAUGAGUGGGAAACUACUAUUAAAAUUAAGAUUAAAGAUCAUGAAUGCUUUGCUUUAUGUGAUUUGGGUGCUAGUGUUUCCACGAUUCCAAAAACUUUGUGUGAUGUGUUAGGUUUCCGUGAAUUUGAUGAUUAUUCCUUAAACUUGCAUCUUGUGGAUUCCGCUAUUAAGAAACCCAUGGGAAGGAUUAAUGAUGUUCUUAUUGUUGCAAAUAGGAAUUAUGUGCCCGUAGAUUUCAUUGUUCUUGACAUAGAUUGCAAUCCCACAUGUCCUAUUAUUCUUGGUAGACCUUUCCUUAGAACGAUUGGUGCAAUUAUUGAUAAGAAAUAAGUAAACAUUAGAUUCCAAUUUCCGUUAAGGAAAGGCAUGGAACACUUUCCUAGAUUAUGGAUUGCAUACCAAAGAUGACAAUACCUAGAUCUAUUCUUGUUUUUAUGCCUAGCUAGGGGUGUUAAACGAUAGCGCUUGUUGGGAGGCAACCCAAUUUUAUUUUUGUUUCUUGCUUUUUGGUUCUAUUUAGUAAUAAAUAAUUCAUCUAGCUUCUGUUUAGAUGUGGUUUUAUGCUUUUAAUUAGUGUUUGUGCCAAGUAGAAUCUUUGGGAAGACGUGGGGGGAGUUUUUGCAAUCUUGCUGUAAAAACAGAAACUUUAGCGCUCACGAGAUUUGCUGCCAUUUUUUUACUGGAGAGUGAGAUUAGGUUGAUUAUUUUUGCAGAUGAUUAAUAGACAAAUUCGUCACAUCCACCAAUUUAUUUCAGAAUUUUUGGGGUUACAUAAGUAUACAAAACCUACAGAUUACUACAGACUGUUCUGUUUUUGACAGAUUCUGUUUUUCGUGUGUUGUUUGCUUAUUUUGAUGAAUCUAUGGCUAGUAUCGGGGGGUAUGAACCAUGGAGAAUUUGGAAUACAGUAGGUUUAACACCAAUAUAAAUAAAGAAUGAGUUCAUUACAGUACCUUGAAGUGGUGGUUUGUUUUCUUAUACUAACGGAGUUCAUGAGAUUUUCUGUUGAAGUUUUGUGUUGUGAAGUUUUCAAGUUUUGGGUAAAGAUUUGAUGGAUUUUGGAACAAGGAGUGGCAAGAGCCUAAGCUUUGGGAGGCCCAAGGAACCCCAAGGUAAAAUUAAAGGACAACCAAAAGCCUAAGCUUGGGGAUGCCCCGGAAGGCAUCCCCUCUUUCGUCUUCGUCCAUCGGUAACUUUAGUUGAUGCUAUAUUUUUAUUCACCACAUGAUAUGUGUUUUGCUUGGAGCGUCUUGUAUGAUUUGAGUCUUUUCUUUUUAGUUUACCACAAUCAUCCUUGCUAUACACACCUUUUGGGAGAUACACACAUGAAUUGUAAUUUAUUAGAAUACUCUAUGUGCUUCACUUAUAUCUUUUGAGCUAGAUAAUUUUGCUCUAGUGCUUCACUUAUAUCUUUUUAGAGCACGGUGGUGGUUUUAUUUUAUAGAAAUUAUUGAUCUCUCAUGAUUCACUUAUAUUAUUUUUAGAUUCCUUUAUAACAGCAUGGUAAUUUGCUUUGGUUAUAAAAUUAGUCCUAAUAUGAUAGGCAUCCAGGAUGGGUAUAAUAAAAACUAUCAUAAAAGUGCAUUUAAUACUAUGAGAAGUUUGAUACUUGAUGAUUGUUUUGAGAUAUGAAGAUGGUGAUAUUAGAGUCAUGCUAGUUAAGUAGUUGUGAAUUUGAGAAAUACUUGUGUUAAAGUUUGUGAUUCCCAUAGCAUGCACGUAUGGUGAACCGUUAUGUGAUGAAGUCGGAGCAUGAUUUAUUUAUUGAUUGUCUUCCUUAUGGGUGGCGGUCGGGGACGAGCGAUGGUCUUUUCCUACCAAUCUAUCCCCCUAGGAGCAUGCGCGUAGUACUUUGUUUUGAUAACUAAUAGAUUUUUGCAAUAAGUAUGUGAUUUCUUUAUGACUAAUGUUGAGUCCAUGGAUUAUACACACUCUCACCCUUCCACCAUUGUUAGCCUCUCUAGUACCGCGCAACUUUUGUCGGCACCAUAAACCCACCAUAUACUUUCCUCAAAACAGCCACCAUACCUACCUAUUAUGGCAUUUCCAUAGCCAUUCCGAGAUAUAUUGCCAUGCAACUUACCACCGUUCCGUUUAUUAUGACACGCUUCAUCAUUGUCAUAUUGCUUUGCAUGAUCAUGUAGUUGACAUCGUAUUUGUGGCAAAGCCACGUUCAUAAUUCUUUCAUGCAUGUCACUCUUGAUUCAUUGCACAUCCCGGUACGCCGCCGAAGGCAUUCACAUACAUGUCACUCUUGAUUCAUAUUUUGUUCUAGUAUCGAGUUGUAAUUUUUGAGUUGUAAGUAAAUAAAAGUGUGAUGAUCAUCAUUAUUAGAGCAUUGUCCCAAGUGAGGAAAGGAUGAUGGAGACUAUGAUUCCCCCACAAGUCGGGAUGAGACUCCGGACGAAAAAGAAAAAAAGAAAAAAAGAAAAAAAGAGGCGAUAAAAAAGGAGAAGGCCCAAAUAAAAAAAUGAGAGAAAAAGAGAGAAGGGACAAUGUUACUAUCCUUUUACCACACUUGUGCUUCAAAGUAGCACCAUGAUCUUCAUCAUAGAUAGUCUCCUAUGUAGUCACUUUCAUAUACUAGUGGGAAUCUUUGAUUAUACAACUUGGCUUGUGUAUUCCAAUGACGGUCUUCCUCAAAAUGCCCUAGGUCUUCAUGAGCAAGCAAGUUGGAUGCACACCCACUUAGUUUAUUUUUGAGCUUUCAUACACUUAUAGCUCUAGUGCAUCCGUUGCAUGGCAAUUCCUACUCACUCACAUUGAUAUCUAUUGAUGGGCAUCUCUAUAGCUCGUUGAUACGCCUAGUUGGUGUGAUACUAUCUUCUCCUUUUUGUCUUCUCCACAACCACCAUUCUAUUCCACAUGUAGUGCUAUGUCCAUGGCUCAUGCUCAUAUAUUGCCUGAAGAUUGAAAAAGUUUGAGAACACCAAAAGUAUGAAACAAUUGCUUGGCUUGUCAUCGGGGUUGUGCAUGAUUUAAAUACUCUGUGUGGUGAAGAUAGAGCAUAGCCAGACUAUAUGAUUUUGUAGGGAUAACUUUCUUUGGCCAUGUUAUUUUGAGAAGACAUGAUUGCUUUAUUAGUAUGAUUGAAGUAUUAUUAUUUUUAUGUCAAUAUUAAACUUUUGUCUUGAAUCUUUCGGAUCUGAACAAUCAUGCCACAAUAAAGAAAAUUACAUCGAGAAUUAUGCUAGGUAGCAUUCCACAUCAAACAAUUCUAUUUUUAUCAUUUACCUUCUCGAGGACGAGCAGGAAUUAAGCUUGGGGAUGCUUGAUACGUUUCCAACGUAUCUAUACUUUUUUAUUGUUCCAUGCUAUUAUAUUAUCUGUUUUGGAUGUUUAAUGGGCUUUAAUUUACACUUUUAUAUUAUUUUUGGGACUAACCUACUAACCAAAGGCCCAAUGCAAAUUGUUUUUUUGCCUAUUUCAGUGUUUCGCAGAAAAGGAAUAUCGAAAUGAAACCUUCGGGAGAGUUAUUUUUGGAACAAACGUGAUCCAGGAGACUUGGAGUAGCCGUCAAGAAAGAAGCGAGGAGGCCACGAGGCAGGGGGGUGCGCCCCCCACCCUUGUGGGCCCCUCGCAGCUCCACUAACGUACUUCUUCCUCCUAUAUAUACCCAUAUACCCCGAAAACAUUCAGGAGCACCACAAAAAAAUACACUUCCGUGAUGAUACGUGUUUGUCACAGUAGGUCGCUUUUUUUGUCAUGCAUGUACAUCCAUGACAAAUUUAUGACAGAAUCAAGAUAGUCAUACCUGUGCUGUCGUAGAAGUGUUCCAUGACAUUACCAAAAUUAUCAUCACGGAAGUGUCCACUUCCAUGACGAUAAAUCACGCGUCACAGAAGAGCUUUCGUCAAGGGUGACCGACACGUGGCAUCCACUGUGACGGAAUGCCGUUAAGCUAUCAGGUCGGGUUUUGGAUCCGAUAACCCAUUAACAGCCCCGACCAACGGGGAUUUUCCAUGUGCAAAAUCAUCAUUGGCUGGAGGAAACACAUGUCGGCUCAUCGUUGGGACAGAUGUCAACCACUCAUUGGACGGAAGGCGCCUAUGAUACGUCGACAUGUGGCACGGCCCAACAGAGGCCCAUUCUUGUGAAAAGGCCAGCCCAUUUGACUUGGUCAAAAGCUGGCGGGCCGGCCCAUGGAAAGCCUGUUAACGGCCUGUUCGAAUAUAGCCCAUUUACAGCCCGCUAACCCAAGGCCCGUUACGCCCUAUCUGAAUUAGGCCCAGUAGCGUCAUCUGGGCCAUCCAAUAUGAUUCCAGCCUGUUUUCACUUCUGGCCCAUGUAUGGCCCAUGAUGUCUUUCGGCCCAUAUGAGGCCCUAUGUAACUCUUGGCCUACUAACGGCCCGUGGUGAAACUAGCCCGUAAUGAACAGUGUAUCACUUUACACCCAUUAACGGCCCGUGGUGAAACUGACCCGUAAUGAACAGUGUAUUACUUUAUACCCAUUAACGGCCCGUUAUUCCGUUGGGCCGUUUCCAGCCCAUGUUAUCUUUCGGCCUUCUCAGAGCUCAUUUAUUCUUGGGCUCAUUUCCAGCAUUCGUUUACUUAUGACCCGUUACUGUCAUUUUCUUCUUAUGGGCCAAAUUCAGCCCGUGGUUACAGUCGGCCCAUUUUGUGGUCCAUUAAUACGUUGGGCCGAUUUCAUAGCGUCAUCAAAUACGGCCUAUUAACGAUGACCCGCUAUGGUCGGCCCAUGAACGGACAAUUUCAACUCUAGCCCGUUUACGGCCAUAAUGCGGUCUAUUUGGCCCAUGUUUGGCCAAUCGAUUAUACGGCCCGUAUAAGGCCCAUUGAUAAUACGGCCCGCAGAAGGCCCAUUGUUUCUACGGCCCGUAGAAGGCCCACUGUUUCUACGGCCAGUAGGAGGCCCAGUGUCACUACAGUAAAUAUUAGCCCAUGGUUAUUGUGGCCUAGUUUUAAAAAAUAGGUUAUUGCAGCCACUAGCUAACCGCGAAAAAAGAACUGCAAUGACUACAAGCAAACAAAUAAACAAGACAAUAAGGAAAUAAAUAAGCAAGCAACUAACGCUAGGCUAUCACGGCUAUUGCACAUAAUACAUCCGCUGGGCAUCAAAGUUCGCCACCAGUGCAAAUAUAGGGAACAAAGCAGCAUAUCAUAUACACUGGUUGUCAAAGUUGGCGACCAGCGCAAAUAAAUGCCGCAGCAAAACAAAUCCAGAACUGAAACCACUUCAGAAGAUCUCAAGAAACAAUAUCCUGGGUACCCAUAAUGCUGGCAAGAUGCUUAGCAAGCUUAUUAACUUUCUCUUGUUUGGUGCUUAAAUCCUCCAGCGCUUGCUAUUGCACCAGAAAAUAUGCAUCUAAAUUCUGCAGGGACUUCCUCAGUCCUUCAACUUCCUGUCGCAGCACAUCUGAUCGAUGUCUUUGAACUUGAAGUUGAGACUCAAGAAGACGAACUGAUUCAGGUAGCGAGUUCGAAGAGCUUGUGCCAGCAGUAGUGGCCAGUAACUCGAACACUACAUCAAGACAGGAAUUUUGGGUUCCUUCACUGUCGUCAAGAUAGUUUUUAUCAGCUUUCUUGGAGACCAACAGGGAUGUCUCACUAUCUUGAACCUUAUCUGCAUUAGUUCCUUUACCAUUGGAUAACGCGGUACUGUUCUCCAAUAUUUUGUCCGCAUUCUAAAAGAGAAACAAGCAGACACAUCACAUGUUUACCAUGUUGUAUAUGAAACUCAUUUUGGUAAAUGAGUUCAGUAGUAAAGUGGACAGGAUAACAACAUGAAACAAACAUAUAUCUAUGUACCAUGGUCACUUUAUGGUCCAUAUCAUUCUAGUUUUUGUUGCCAAAUCAAGAUAGAGACACAGUUCAAAUAAUAUUUGUUCAAGACAAAGCAGAAUAGACAGAAUAUAAGUGUGGGUAACUAUAGAGCAAUAACAACACUUGUAAUGUCCAUGACAUGAGAACACAACUGUUUAUUCAAUUGAAACUGAAAUCAACAUAGAGCAGGUUACAACAACAAACCUGUUAAAGAAACAUGUUUAAAACAUACCUGUUGCGCCAUUGGAGUUUCAAUUCCAUCCUUCAAAUUUGAAAAUAGUUGGUAUGAGUAAAUACAGUCAUGCAAGAGCAAAGGAGUAUGAACCAUAGCUACAGAACCUGACCUGAGAACGAAUCUUCUUCUCCUUUAAGCAUUGAGUUGGGAUUCAGAGUGGUGGUCCUCGUGCUUUGGGCACUGCAGUUCCAUUACUAACUGAUCGUGUUUGGGUGCUCUGUGGUGGAGACGGUGCUAUGUCAACUGGAACUGGGUUACUAUCUGCCGGGGUUGGGGUUAGAAGGGGUGUAGCUGGUUCUCUGUCCAACUGGGUAGGGGUACAAUCUGUGAGAGUUUGGGUUAUGUGUGGUAGAUCUGGUCCUUGGGCAAGUACAACUGUGGUUCUAUCUGCAUCAACUAGUAGCACUAUCUUUUCUGAAGACCGUGUUGUUACCCCCUUAGAUACUGCCAUCACGCUCUCCAAUUCAAAUGGCCGAUAAACAAGAAAAGUAAUUGAAAGUACAGACAUUGUAUGAUAGACAGGUGCGAUGGAUAGUGGGGAAUAAAAGAGGGCAUGAAAUAAUUCAUAUUUAUGUUGUCUAACCAAACAGGAUAGCAUGACACAAUUUCACAUAUAUGAUGGCUAACUAAACAGGAUAGCAUGACACAAUUUCACAUUAUGAUGGCUAACUAAAAAAGAUGGAAAGACAUAGUUCAAAAUAUGAGACUAUGUAAAUAGGAUGACAUGACAUAACUAUAUAAUGUGUUUAUUAAAUAGGUUGGCUUGCCAUAAUUCACAUACAUUCACGGAUAUAAUGCCAUAAUUCAAAAUAUGAUGAUUGUAAACACUAAACAGGAUGAGAUGAUAUAACUAUAUGAUGUCUUUAUUAAAUGGGUUGCCAUGCCAUAAUUCAGAUAGAUGAUGUGUAUGUACUAUGUAAACAUGAUGGCAUGAUAUAAUUCAAAUAUAUGAUUUAUAUAGUAAGCAAGUAAGCAAAUGACAAUCCAUAUAUGAUGUAAAAACUAAGCAAUGCAAGACAACAUGCAUGACAUGGGUAAUAUAACCCUGCCAAGUUUGAGGAUAGACCUCAGGGGGAAAAUAGGACUGGUCAUCAGUCUCUGAAUCCUCCUCUGAGGAGCUCUCUAUAACCAGCAAGAUGUCUGCUUCAGCAGGUAGCAUUGUCUGCUCUGAAUACCUUGUUUUCACUCUAGAUACUUCCAUCACCGCUUCAAAUGGCUGAUGCACAGGAAGAGUAGUUGAAUAUACAAAUGUUGUCACCAAAUGGAACACGUAAUACAAAAAAAAUGAUAGUACAUGAUGAUUGGCUAAACAACAUGGCAUUGCAUAAUUCACAUAUAUAAUGCCUUUGCAAUAAGAUAGCAUUGUAUAAUUCACAUAUAUAAUGUCUUGCAACAAGAUGGCAAUGCAUAAUUCACAUAUAUGGUAAUUAGACACUGAACAGGUGGCAUUCACACAAAGCAUGUCUAAACUAAUCAAAUAACAUAGCAAUGCGAGACACCAUACACACGAUAUGAGCAACAUAACCCUGCCAAGUUAGAGCAUACACCUCGGGGGGGGGGGAUAGGAAUGGUCAUCUGUCUCUAAAUCCUCCUCCAAGGAGCUAUCCGUAACCAGCGAGAUAUGCGCUUCGUCAGAUAGCAUAGUCUGCUCUGAAGACCUUGUUUUCACUCCAGAAUUUGCCAUCACCGUGUCAAAUGGCUGAUGCACAUGAAGAGCAGUUGAAUGUAAUAACAUUGUUGACAAAUGUAAUAUGUAACAGAAAAAAGGAUGGCCUGAUAUAAUUUACAUAUAAGAUGACUGGCUAAGCAGGAUGGCAUUGCAAAAUUCACAUAUAUGAUGCCUGGCUAAACAAGAUGGCGUUGCAUAAUUCACAUAAACGAUGAAUAAACUAAAUAGAUGGCAUUCACACAAAGGAUGUCUAAACUAAGCAGAUGACAUAUUUGAUGUAUAAAGUAAGAAAUGCAAGACACCAUAUGCAUGAUAUAACCAACAUCAGCAUGCCAAGUUAGAGCGAAGACCUCAGGGGGUAAAUAGGAGUUGUCUUCUCCUUCUGAAUCCCCCUCAGAACAGAUAUCUUCCUCUCGAUUACAAUCCGAAAUGCGUGGAGGGGGGCUGCCUUUGCGCCUACCAUGGAGCGCUGUCUGCAUGAAAUUUUAUUGCCACACAAGGCUCGUCUCUUUUGCUCUACAUGUUCAGUUCCAUUGUUUACAAUAACUGUCAUGCAUAGGAAUAAAACAUAGUGAGAUUAUGUAAGGAGUGCAUGCAGAAAUCCAGAGUGAUGGUAGCAACCUGUGGAUAGACCCAAAACCAAUAAUAGCAGGCAGAUAAUGGCUUCAGUUAAAAAAUACAGAUAAUGGCUUCUUUACUGUUUGUUUCCCACCCAACAUGAAACUCAUAGUAGACACCGGAGAUUAACCAGAUAGUAGAUAGACACUAUUGAUAGCGGCCCCGAUAUGUACCCCACAACCAUUUAAAAACUCAAGUUUGACCAUUAGUUUGGAGUUGACUCAGAGUCUAAUCGGUGAACAGGACAAUAAAGUAGCAUGUAAUAUUAAGCGAUGCAUAAUGUAAGCAGACACGAAAGAGUGCGACCUCUCUUACGGACCCGUGUAGUCCUCGAGGUCAUCUGCUCGGUUGAUGAUGGUAGUGCAGUUUUCAUGGCUGCCAGCGGCGGGGAAGAAGAUCUGAGGCGGCGAAAGACAGUCUGGAGGCCAGAUCCCUGCUGUGCUAGACCCUUCUGUCAUUGGAGCAGCUGAGCUGGGGUGGACGACAGCGCAGCAGGAGCGGGACAAACCACGCAAGGUUUUCUUUGACAACUAUCUGUAAGAGAAGUAAUUCUGUAAGGGCUCGUUUGAAUUGGAGGAUUCUAACAAUGCAGGGAUAGGAAAUAGACAGGAAUAGGAUAGGAAUGCACGUGCAAAAUAGAGAGUAUAAAAACACGGGAUUUCUGCCAAUCUGGGUGUUUGAUUCACAACAAUUGGAAGAUCACAGGAUGCAAAGAAGCAUGGUGAGAUUAAGUCAAACCACAAGAAAAUGUACGGUUAUAAUGUAUUAUGCUACUAUCUCUUAGUCUUGUGCUUCAUGAAUAGGAAUUUGAAAAGGAGGACAAGUGAAAAUUAAAAUUCCUACGUUUUUUCUUUCAAGGAGACACUAAAGGAACAAAUCCGUGUGCUCAGUGGACAAUAUAUAUAACAUGUAGAGUAAAAAAGAGAUGCAACAAGUGUACAACCUCUUUGGCGAAGCCAUGUCGAUCUCAGCGUGAUUGGGUUGGCCGGUGAGGAUGCUCCGGCUGACUUGGCUGUCGGAGGAGGGGAAGAAGAUCUUAGGCGUCUGGAGAUGGAGCCCGAGGUACUGCUCCGCUGUGAUGGAGGGUUUCGUCGUUGGAGCAGCUCCGGUGAGUUGUACGACGCUGAGGCUGAAGCAGGACAAGAGAGACAACGAACAAUGUUAACCUAAGUGGAAUUCUAAUAGCAUAUCCAAUACAUGACGUAAAAUACAUAACCACAAAGUGCUAGAUGUAAAAUACAUCAGCCGCUCAUCUCUAAACUUAACUGUCAAAACUGAAUUUAACUGUCGAACCCGAACUUAACUGCCAAAACUGAACUUAACUGUCGAAACUGAAUUUUGCUGUCGAAACUAAAUUUUGCUGUCAAAACUGAACGCACUAGCAAGGUGAGGCUACACGUCGGUCGGCUGACUUUUUCAUCUCUGGUCAGUCGAUUUUGCAGCCGUUGGAUACAAAAUCAAGGGCCUGCGGUUCAUCUUCAACCUCCACCCCCCUGAGCCGGCCAAAUAGCAGCCCCCCGCCGCCCGCGGCCGGCGGUGCGCCGCCCUGCCCGCCCCGAAAACACUCCCCACCGCCGGUCCGCCGCGGCCCCGGCCAUCCCUCUAGGCCCCCCGUGCCGAGCUUUUUCUCCGGAGAUCCCCACGCCACCGCCCCGCCAACGCCCCGCCACCGCCGGCGAUCACCGCCCCCAUCCUGAACCUUAAGAUAAAUAGUGGGGUACCUCUCCGGUGAGCCCCCCUCCCUACUGUGGCUGGUUCUUCCUUCACCCCGGCGGCAUCAGAGUGAAGUGUAGCUAAAUCGGAGCAGCAUCGCAAGCAAGAGCAAGAGCGGGAGCAGCAGUGCGAGCAAGAGCAAUAGCAAGAGCAGACCAGGUAGGGGACCGAGAGCAAGAGCAGAGCAGCAGCGCGAGCGAGAGCUAAAGUAGCAGCAGGUCCUACUGAUGUGGACGUCGCCGCUGAGGGAGCGACGCCAUGGAGGAAGUGGCCGGCGACGCCGCCGUGGAUGGAGCCGCGCCGUGUCGGCUCGGGACCGAGCGCCGGCAGCACCGUGAGAUCGAAUCAAGAAGAAAAUGCGAUGAUUAGUGUACAACCUCUUUGGUGGCGCCGAUUAGGCCACAACUUCAUCCGAGGAAACGGUGAUGAUGAUGCUCUUCCGGUGGUGCAGGUGAAGACGGCGGUGUGGGAAUGGAGGUGGCACGAAAGACGAGGGGAAUGUCGGGGCAGCUCCUUGGAGGUGGAGGAUGGGGUGGCUGAACCGGCGGGACGAUGAGAUCAACGAUGAAUCCUCAUCCAGUACGAUGGAGAGGGAUGUCGAGGUGUUGCUGUGGACGACGUCAUCAGGGAAGAGGCUCCGGCUGGGUGGCGGACGGAGCAGGGUGUGGGGUUUCGUCGCGGGUUUUCGCGGCCUCGGUGUACGAAUGGGUGGGCGGAUGGGAUGGUAGUGGGGAGCCAUGGCUUAGAGACGCGCUUGUACGAAAUGUGGGGUAAGUUACGAAAGUACCCCCACCGAUUUGAGGUGGUUCUUUCUGUUCAGGGGUACCACAAGCAUUUCACGUGUCGGGAUUUCACAAGAGGUGGGAGUUUUUGCGCGCGUUGUAAUUUCGGAAUAGCAAGGCGUGGGUUGAGAUGGAGGGAGUUGUCAGAGCACAACGAGACAAAGAUAUAUCUUAAAUAUUUCGGGCUAACAAGGCGCUGGUUGAAAUUUCCGGACAAGCCUAAUGUGUACUGUACCAAAUCAAUGCGCCCUACAAAUGUCAUUCAAAACUUUGAAUUCAUGUUAUGUUCAAUUAAAAUAUUUCGCUACGUGUAUAAUGCAUGCAACCUACUACUCAAAUGAACGUUUUAGUGCAUUCCAAACGUAUAUACUACCGCUUCAAUAUGAACUAAAUUUGAAUUCGUUUCUCUAUUUGAAUAAGAUCUACAGUAAUGAUUGUUGUGAAGUCAAAGCAUUUGAAUUCGUUUCUCUGUUUUAAUAAGAUCUACAAUCAUCAUUAUUGUCAAGUUAAACCAUCGUUUGUGUAUUAUCUUCACAACACACCACAUGAUUAGUCUCGAGUUACAUAUGAACUAUGUGUAUUAUAUGAACUCGAACUAGAUUUUUUGAAUCCACUUUAUUUUGAUUUCAAAUCACAUUACAUUUCUAGCUCUAGCUAGAUCUUCAUAAUCUAAACCAUGUCUCAUAUGUAUAAUGUGUUUAUUACAUUAUGUAUGGUGCCCCGCCCCCUAUGCCUACAAGUAUUUAGAUGUGAGUUGCAAACACCACACAUUACCACGAAUUCAAAUAAAAUGUGAGAAUGUUCGAUAUAUAGUAUUAUUUAGAUUGUUCGAUAUUUAGUUGUAAGAUGCAAGCGCCACACAUUAUCACAAAUUCAAAUGAAAUGUGAGAUUGUUUGAUGUAUAGUAUGGUUUAGAUUGUUUGGCAUUUAGCUGUGAGUUGCAAACACCAUGCAUUAUCACAUUAUGGUAUAACAUGUGCACAACACAUGUAUCACCGCUAUAUUCAUGCAUGCAAUGUUUAAAACACUAUGAUCUCCUAUUCAAAUAUAUGAAUCCGCUUUCAUAUCAAAUUAUGAUCUUUGUUAGUCUCUUACACCCACACAAUCCUCUAACCUUUGUAGCUACCACUAACUUUCUCUGUUGCAUGCACACGCCCUCCUCGCCCUCCCCCUCCCUCGGCAUUCUAUCCACCGGGCACAUUCAUUUUUUUCUUUAGGUCGUUCUCCCAGAGUCUCCACAACCCCUUUCCGACACACACCGAUCGAUAAACCUCUCCAGCGAUGCCUGCCUACAACAUACAAACACACCUUCAAUCUCCUCCUUUAUGUGUCCUUGCCUCGUGUCUCUCAUACGGUCAGACACACGUGUAAACUCUCGCCCCUCUUUUCAUCGCUCUCACAACCGCACACUCCUCCCCCUAUCUAGCUAGUAGUUGGGCCUCUCGCACCACCUCCUAGCUCCAUUCUCUCUGUCUAUCCGUCUCGCUGGGCCUUAUUUGCCUCUAACAAAUGGACGUACACCGACCGAUCUCUCGCUAUACAUAUAGCUAGCUAGGUCCUUAUAACUCGUUUUUACCCACAUGUCAAUCGAUCUACCUCAUUAGUUGCGUCUCUCCCUUCCUCCGAUAAACAACAAUUGAUCUACUGAUCUAGUUAGGUUUGCUUACCAAACACAUGGUUCCCCUUCAUCAUCCAUGGAUGUGUCCCGAGAGAUCUAUCACGCACAGGCACACACAGAAACACAUCCCCACUCUUAUUGAUAACAUUACAGUUCCACCCUCAGUUUGUCUAGUAGGCCUCUCCCACCAUCUUCGAGAAGCAACUCCAUCACCCAUCCAUCACUCUACCCCUCUCCCUCCCUCUCUCUCUCCUCUCUCUCUCCCAUCAUAUUUCCCGUCCUUCAGUUAUGUAUGGAUGUCGACUGAUCUCCCUCAAGACAUAGCUGGGUCUCUCCUUCUCAACACAUAUACGAGUCAUUCUACCUCUAUAGUUAGGCCUCUGCCUACCCCUUCCACCACCCCCCACACACCGAUACAUCGAGCGCUCUAGUCAUGUCUCCCUGCCACACACAAACUUGACGUGUGCCCUCCAACGUUUCGGUAGGCCAGUCGCCCUAUAUCUUUGACUUGUACACACACACAAUUUCGAUGGCUCUCUUCAUCGAUCUCGCACCCACCCACUUGAUCCUCUCUUUGACUCUAUCGAUAGCUAUGACCCCUCCCUCUAUUCUCGUGGAUUGCCCGACCCUCUAUGUAUGAUAUGGAUAGGCCUCCAUUUCACACACAUUGCAUGCAAAAUUUUGUUUGAGAUUUCAUCGACACAUAUUCCCACAAAUAAUUCACGAAAUCAACCCCCACCCCACCCCCACCCCAAAACAAAAAACACUCACGAAUGCGGUUUGUAUCUCUCACACACUCCCACGUAGGUGGGGGACGCGCACGAAGAGAAGAGGUGCAUGCACGGCGCACGUACUCCCGUCUCUUUCCCAACCACACCCACGCGGUUACACGGUGGAGCUCAUUUCUGUACGAAAAAGGCAGCCCACGUGGUAAUUUGGCAUGUGUACUGGUUGUCCACUUGGUGGAGGGAGGAUCAUCUACCACAAGUGAACAAACAAAUUGCGACUUGACGUGUUAUGUUAAAAAAGAGGCAAACCAUGUGGGGCCUACCUUAGAGGCAAGGCUCUAUACACUAGAGUACUUUUGAUGUGUCCCGUCAACUCGCAGAACGAGGAGAAGCUUGCUUAGUACGCCGUCUCCCCCGCCCACGGGCGCGGUGGCUCGCAGGAUGAGGUGAAGCUUGCUUACUAUGCCUUACGCCCGCUCCCUCGCCCAUGCGUGCGGUGGCUCGCAGGACGAGGAGAAAAAAUUACUACUCCCUCCGUUUACUCCUCGUCCCUACUACCUUGGUUAUAGAGAUUAUAUCAUAUUGUUUGGAAUAUAUAUGUCCUUUAGUAGAUUUCAAUAUGAACUACUAGUACAUACUCCAAACACUGAUGUAUAUAGACGUAUUUUAGAGUGUAGAUUCACUCAUUUUUCUCCAUAUGUAGCACUCUCCCUCGCCCCUCACCCCUCGCCCACGUGGUGGACGUGCAGCAAUUCAUUCGGUCUCAUAUAGCCAGAACGAUAUAUACUGCACUACCAUUAUUGCUCGACUUCCCGAAGAGGCGAAGAGCCAAUCGCAAGGUCAAUAUUUUGAGAUGCCAAGCGCAAGGUUAUAGGAGAACGAGUAGUAGGUGCCGCAUCAUUUAUAAAUAAAGUUUUUUUCUUCGGUGGCACGUACGCAAUAUGAUAGGUUCAUAUGGAGAGAAAAGGAAACCGCUCCACUAUAUACAUAGUCAGGACGGGCCAGCCUACACGGUUGCUUGCUGGGGUUGCUCUCUUCACACUCUCUCGCACAAAACGACUAUGGCCACAUCUCUAACAUCCCGGCGGAUCAUGUCCGCUUGGGGAAGGGGUGGUUGCUUAGUGUAGAUGCGGUGGCCAUCGCCGAAGGCGAAAACCCACUAUCGGCACGUCCCGAUCAGGGGUCCCCGCCGUUCUCUCUCACAAAGCCGGUGAGGUUGCCUUCGUCCCUUCCUCACUACCGCAACGUGGGCAGUUGCCGCCUCCCGCCGCCCUCCUCAAGGUUGAGCUACGUCCCUCAGGUGCAACUCCCUUUACAGCCGGCUUGCACCACUGCUCCAGCUGCCCACAUCACUCCCUAUGGAUAUUUCUCUACUUCUUUGCCCCGCACAUACCUCUACUGGCUUUGUGCUGUAUUUGUGAUGAGUUUAUGUCUCAUCAACUAGUCCCAGUAAUCUUAUUCUAAUCACGCUUGUUCAAUUUCUUUGCCACAGGGAUGCUCAUCUCGAUUUUGGUGAAACUGCACAAAAUGAUCCGAUGGUCAAAAGGUUGCAAACUUCAUUUAUUAGGAAGCUCAAACAUUGCCAGCAAAUUGAAGCCUGGUCAGGGUUCACGGUUCAAGGGCUAGGGACUGCAUGGAUCGUUUUUUUCUUUAGCCGCCUCUGUUCCAAAAUAAGUGUCAACUUUAGUAGUAAUACAACUUUGUACUAAAGUUUGCACAAAGUUGAGAAACUUAUUUUGGAACAGAGGGAGUACAUAUUUGCUAUGAUCUGUCAAUCAUUGAGAUGCAAUAACAUGCAUGUUAGUCUCCUUUGUAUUUGUUGAAAUGUUGCAACGGGCAACCUUGGAUGCAAGAUACAUGUAACAGAAGCUGGAAGCUUCAUAGCAUUGUACAAAUUUAUCUCGCUGAUAAAUUACAGUACAUACUAUACUAGUACUUCCUCCCUUCCUAAAUAUAAGUCUUUGUAGAGAUUUCACCAUGAACCACAUGUGGAUGUAUAUAGAUGCAUUUUAAGUGUAGAUUCAUUCAUUUUGUUCCGUAUGUAGUGGAAUCUCUACAAAGACUUAUAUCUACUAGUAAUAGCUAGCCCCCACUACUAGGAAUUCUCUAUCCUCUCCUUGAGCCACGUCAUCAAAAUUGAUGUAGCCGUUAGAUGAAGUAAAUCAGUCCAUAAUAGCCGUCUGAUCUUGACGUUGAGAGGCUCCACACUAAGACACAUGCAAGCAUGCAGAAAUACCGUGCCACAUGCAUGUGAGUGGGUUUUAAAUCACAUCAACAUGUCUGCAUGCAAUCAUGCACCGGUAGCAUGCAUGUAAGUGAGCUUUUAAGUCCCAUUAACAUGUCAAAAAGAAAAAUAUAAUCCCAUUAUGCAGUAGGAGUUGGCUGAUCUUUUUUCCUUACGUGGGAUGAUCUAAAUGAUGAUGGGAGUUUAUUUUGUUUGGCUACCACAUUUGUCAUGCGGUUAUAGAGUUUUUUUGUUCUAUGAAAUCGAUAAUUUUGCGCAGAGAGAUAUACCGCUGUUCCGCGCCAACACGCGGGGACUCAUCUAGUAAUAUUUAGGAACGGAGGGAGUACUAUGUAAAGAGUUAGGUGUCGCACGGUGAUAGUGUGAGGUGGGCCAUGUAAUCACCUGCAUGUUUUCACUGCUCUUGCACGCCUCCGCUGUAAGAAUGGAGAAAAUUGUAAUCUAGUAGUAGUAGUAUACCUCCUUUCGCCGAAAGCGUAGGACAUCCGGCAGUCCUACCACCUCAGUAAUAAAGACCAAUGAGCCGUCAAAUCACAUAGACCCAGCAGUAAGUUGGACGGACGAAGCAAGCAUCACUCUUGCGCCAGUGAGAGGUCGCACCCGCUCUGCCCGGGCAUGAAUGCGGCACCGAUUCUUUAGAGCAGCGCUGACCGUUUUGGGCGGGAAGCACGCACGGGCGAUGGAGGGGCUUUGGGUGGGCCAGGCUGGUCAGGAGCGGGCGUGGCAGCUGUCCGCAUGUCCCUACCGGACACGCCCGGAAACGAGAGGAUGCACUGACUCUCGCGGCUAAAAUGGUACACUACACAACAUCUCUCUGUAGGAGUAGGUCGAUCUGUCGCUCUCUCUAACACACACAUGGUGUUAAACACACACACACACACACACACACACACACACACACACACACGCACCUUGGUCCCGUUGCACCUUCUAACAUGACUUAUUACACCUAGACGAAGGGAGUAGUAAGUAUACGAGAUACGGUGGCACACUGACUUAAGUCGAAUACAAGUGCCCAAAAUUUGUGUGCAUGUUAUAAUAAGGAUUCACUUAAAAUAGUACGUGAGCGAACAGAGGGAUCAAUUGGAUAGUGUUCCCGAGCAGUAGCGAGAUGUGUGAGGUAAGAUACACCGCUGGCGCUUUUAAUUUUUCUUUUUAAUUUGUUUGUUUCACCCUCUGACUGGUGGGACCCAACAUACUACGUGGAGAGAGGUAAGGUGACUAAGGCUGCAUUAUUUCUGCACCACUGUGGAUAGUAUUACCACCAAAGCCACAUGACACGAUUAUGAUUGAAAUCCCAAUGACUCCCACACCCACAAAAAAAACAC
rnacentral:lncRNA from 1 species